UACGUAGGGGGCAAGCGUUGUCCGGAUUCAUUGGGCGUAAAGAGCUCGUAGGCGGUUCAGUAAGUCGGGUGUGAAAGCUCCGAGCUCAACUCGGAGAGGCCACCCGAUACUGCCGUGACUUGAGUCCAGUAGAGGAGCGUGGAAUUCCUGGUGUAGCGGUGAAAUGCGCAGAUAUCAGGAGGAACACCAAUGGCGAAGGCAGCUCGCUGGAACGGAACUGACGCUGAGGCGCGAAAGCGUGGGGAGCGAACAGG
rnacentral:rRNA from 1 species